rnacentral:lncRNA from 1 species
CUUGCAGCUUCUUUUUUUUCACUAGGUGAUUCAGUCAUUCAGUAAUUCACUGGGGACGGUGGUGCUAGUCGCUCUGCGAAAAGUCCUAGCAAGAAAGAUGAUGGACACUAACAGAUGAGAAGACACAGUCAAUUUUAGACAACACUAGACGCAUACUGCACCAAGGACACGGGAAACCCUCCUCCCCCUCCGUGAAGGAGCGGUCAGCUCUCUAUCUGUCUGAGACAGCUGCUCACACAGGCAACCUCCAAAAGUCUAAUACCACAAAGGAGAGCGCUACUCAUCCUCUUGACAACCAGAAAGCAAGCAAGGUAGGACAUGCUAAAAACACGUGUGGUUGUCUAACAAAGUCUUUGUGGACUGGUGUAUAGUGCGAUUUAACUACCUGUGCUUGACAAUGAGGCACACUCUCAUGCAGAAUGUGGAGGUCUGACACCUCAACUACUCAGCCAUAUUUAGAACUUGUUUAUGAGGUUCAAAAUCACCUUACAUAAAAAGGCUCCA